rnacentral:rRNA from 1 species
UACGGAGGAUGCAAGCGUUAUCCGGAAUUAUUGGGCGUAAAGCGUCCGUAGGUGGCUAAUCAAGUCUGCUGUCAAAGCGUGGAGCUUAACUCCAUACCGGCGGUGGAAACUGAUGAGCUAGAGUGCGAUAGGGGUAGCAGGAAUUCCCAGUAUAGCGGUGAAAUGCGUAGAGAUUGGGAAGAACACCAGCGGCGAAAGCGUGCUACUGGGUCUGCACUGACACUGAGGGACGAAAGCUAGGGGAGCGAAAGGG